CAGUAGCCGCGGGAAUACGGAGGGUGCAAGCGUUAAUCGGAAUUACUGGGCGUAAAGCGCACGCAGGCGGUCUGACAAGUCAGAUGUGAAAUCCCCGGGCUUAACCUGGGAACUGCAUUUGAAACUGUCAGGCUGGAGUCUUGUAGAGGGGGGUAGAAUUCCAGGUGUAGCGGUGAAAUGCGUAGAGAUCUGGAGGAAUACCGGUGGCGAAGGCGGCCCCCUGGACAAAGACUGACGCUCAGGUGCGAAAGCGUGGGGAGCAAACAGGAUUAGAUACCCCGGUAGUCCUGUCUCUUAUACA
rnacentral:rRNA from 1 species